AUGGGUAUUGCAGGGGCCACUAACGAGGUGGCGACCCUGAAGGAGGCGGUGUCCGCGACCGAACGUAAUGCGGCCGCGGAACGCUCCGAGCGAGAGAAGCAGGAGGCGCGGGUGGCGGAGGUACAUCAAGAGCUCCAGGAUCUCGUGGAAAAACAUGAGAGCCUGGAGCAUGACUCGAAGACUCAAGAGUCUGAGCUUGCAACGGCUCUUGAGAGUGCCAAAGCUGCUAAGGCCAAAGCCUACAAGGCCCUCCAAGAAAUCGAGGCGUUGAAGAAAAUAGCAGCGGGUAAGGCAUUUUUCAUGCAAAGUAAGCAUGUGAGUGUUAAUUACCUGUUGCUUACCCAAAUUCGUAGCUCUCCAGGAGCGUUCGCAGAUCUUCCUUGCAGCGUGUCCGAUGCUGCCGCGUUCUACCGGGCCGAGGAGGGGAGCUCGACGGAGAAGGUCUUCUGGUCUCCGUAUGCUGAGGCCGGACAUCCGGUGCCCCUUAGCGACCAGCUGAAGCAGCUGGUCGAGCUCCACAAGGCGGCCGAACAGGCCAUGAAGGGCCUCAUUGUUCGGCUAUGGCCAAAGGAGGCCAUGCCUGGGAGCUACUUCGGCCUGAUGCGGCGGCUGGUGGAUGCGUGUCCAUGGGUUGAAGUCAUCAAGAACUCCGCCUGUAUUGAAGGUGCCCGGCGGGCCCUUGCCCGUGCAAAGGUGCACUAG
rnacentral:rRNA from 1 species